UGGAGGCUAUUCUUGAGAUGGGCAUCUUGUAAGAAGCAUACACAUGGGGCAAGUAACAACCACAAAAGAACUGAAAUAUCCAUAUCCAAAAAUCUCAGACAAUCAGUCUAUCUUCAGGUCCUGGAGAAUGCAUGAAGACAACUUCACUGCAGCCAUAUACAAGGCAUCUGGAGAGGUUAACUUACUUAAAUCAUUUCUAAACAAGAGCAAGAAGAAGAAGAAGAAGAAGAAGAAGAAAAAAAAAGUAAACUCAUUCCAGGAAUAGGAAAAGAAUGUUCUUCCUCAUCUCCCAAGACAAUAAGCAAGUAUGAACCCAAGUCUGAAGAGGCUUCAUUUUUUCUUUGGAUUUUUAAAACCAAAGGCCAGCUAUAAAGAUUUUCUUAAUCAAUCUGAAAUCCCAAACACCAGCUAGGUGUGGCCUAUUCCAUUUCUUCCCACAGCUUUCAUUAAGGUUUUUACACAACACAGCCUCCAAAUCAGCCAACUGCUUUGAUUUCAAGGAGCACAGGCCAUAAGCAGUGUACAGUUGCUCUUUGCCACCCCACCUCUAGUGUCCUCAAGGAAGCGUGAAAGUUCUCUAGAUACUUGCAAAAGACAAUUGCACAACACUUCAUGUUCAGUAAUCAUUUUGUUAUUGGGUUCAGAUGGUAAAGUGGAUACAGAUGUUCAUUAUCAACAAAAGCAUGUGUAAACAAGGAAACAAUCCAAGAAGCUGCUAUCAACUGGAAAGUCCAAUGCUAACCAUCAUAUGUUGCCGAGUCACAGACAUCUUUCUUUAAACACAGAAAAGAAAUCUGCCCUCUCUACAAUCAAUAGGAGUGCAAAUUGAAUUUUUGUCAUCAUACCCACCCUUAAAGCAUAAAGGCCAUUUUACACAUGGCAUAUUUAAACCUCAGUGGCCUGAAUGUGCAGAAAAGCCUGCUAAUUUCCAGCUGACCAGGAUUUGCUCCUGCAAAUCUUUCCAUAUGGUCUCCCUGCCACACCUGUCCCCCAAAAGCUCCACUGGCUGUGAGGCAGAGACUCGUAGCCUGGUUUGGCUGAUCUUAUUUCUGGACAACAACAGGUAAUAAAACAAAUCCCUCCUGGGGCCUUUUCCAGGGGUAUUUUCUCUCCCAGUUUCCCAAUGAAGGAGAAAAACUCAAAGAAGAUCAAUUGUGGGGAGUCUGAGCUUCUGCUCAUCACAUCAAACACCCCAGACUCUAUCCUCAUCCUCUGGAGGGAAUCAUUCACAUGCAGAAGAUUAACUAAAAGGAUUAGCCUGCAACUGGAUUAUCCACACAGACAGGACAGCUAAGACAAGUAGUAAAAUGGCACCUUUAUGUGUUUCCUGCCUUUUAACCUCUAGGUUUCUGGACUCCUGGUACUCAUCCCUUUAAGCACCACCAUAUUUUAGGAGCUGCUGAAUACACAAUGGAUGAGGUACUUUGGUGGCUGAUCUGGCAUAUCUGAGUCAUUUCUCAUCAGCCACAAGAUGUCAGUGUUGCUGAAUGUUAUUAUUCUCACCUGCAAAGCAUCUCUAUGUUGCUCAAGGUGGUUGUCGACAUUAGGCUUUGCGCAGCAAGCUUAACAAAAUAACCAAGAAAAAACACACUGUCAAGGACAAUAAAGAGCUGUAUAACAAAAUGAAGUGCAUUAUUAAUGAACCAUAAUAAGUAAAGCUCGAAGUAUGUGGGUAUUGCUGCCACCUUCUCCUAAAGUGAAAAUUUCUUGUAUCUUUUCACAAGUCCCAAAGCAGCUCAUGAAAAAGGCGAGCUUGGCAGAUGGCUCUUGCAUAACGACAUCACUUUGAAUGGAGCAACUGGAGAUGAAACCAGAGCUGUUUCAUCAAGAAGAAAUUAGUCCAUCCAACCAGAAAUGAGGUUGUCCAGGAACUCUAGCUCUACCAACUCUUACUAAAUAUGAUAAAUGAAAUCAAAGAACAUGCUAAUGGGCUAUGUAUCUUUCCUUUUUUAUUCCUAGACUAUCAGACUUUGGCAGUAAACUCUGCCCAUGUAGCUCCACCAUGGAGACCUUUCUGUGUCCAGACCCAUUUCCUCCCAGUAUCACUUCCCCAGUUGUAUCAGUACAUGCUUUUGCAAGGUCAAACUACAAAUCAGAUGAUUGGAAUAUCUGCUUUUAAAACACUCUUUCCUUUCCCAAGCCUUGCUAAAAGUCCAAGGUCGGGCAGAGGGGGAACUUUUGAACCGAUAUUGUUGUGGACUUGGCAUAUUGUGAAACUGCACCUCGGAUUUCCUCUGCAGACUGAAUGACCUGACUGUUGAUUAUUUUUCUGCUUCCUUCUUGGUUGCAGGAGAUUUGCUUCACCAGCCACUGACUUGACUUCCACUUCUAAGUAUAGCAAAGCGCUGGUACUAUUAGCACAAGAAUUCCUGUUUACAUUAUUUGCUUCCAUUCAUGUCCUCUGAGCUUGUUUACUUUCACAACCACAGGAAGCAGGAAUUUGGUGGGAGUAGAGACAGAACUGUUCAGCACAAAAAAAAAAAAAAAAAAAAAAAAAAAAGAAUAGAGAUGGAUGAAUUUAUACACACAUGCAGUUAUAAAAAUAUACAAUGGAAACAUGGUUAUUUGGGUUGGGAAGUUAAGUAGACAGUUCAAUACAUUUCAUCCAUCUAUAACUUCAUUUAGAAAAUAUGAUUAUGUCUCCUAAAGACAAAUCCAAGUAUUUCCAUUAAAAGAGAUAUAUUGGGGGGGUGGGGGGGGUAUUUUUACAUGAUUCUUGCAAUCUUCCAUAAACCACAAUUUUUCCACAAAACAAAAUGCAUUCUUUGAAAAAUGCUGCAAAGCAACAACAAUAAACCUCAGGGAAAGUCCUUCCUGCUUCCAAAUUUUCCACUUGUGCUGAACUCCUAAACUAAGAAAAUCCAUUCCCAAUUAGCAAAAAUUGUUCUCAGUAAAGGCAACUUCUGAUGGGUUCUCCCUGUUCCACUAAGCAGCCUGUUUGCAGCAAACAUAAAUUCCUAUUUUUAACUCUGCCUCAUCUUUGCAUUACGUUGAAAGCACCAUCUUCUCUGCCUGGACUGAGGUUCUGUUUGCUGGCCUCAUCCUGCCUCCCCUGCUAGCACCAGCAGGCCCAGGCGUGCCAAUAUUCACAGGUCUGCAGUAGCUGGCAUGCCCAGGCGCUGUGCACACACACAGGCUGACUCCGCACUGUGUGCACAGUGACCAUUUGUCUGAGCUUUCCAGCUGCCUGGAAAUCUGGGAGAUUAAUGCCCAAAGUGGUAGA